GGCCUCAGGCCAGGUGUUCUGUGUGCCAGGGCAGCAGACGUGUUGCUGCUUUGUUUGUUGAUGACAUCACUGCUGUUCAGUUCUUUUAACCACUGCUUGUUUAACCUCCUGUGAUGCCCUGUUGUGCUCAGGCUGUCAACACCAAGGCAUCUCCUCUGUCUGUCUGUUCUUGGUUAAUCUUUCUUUCCUUUCCUCUUGCAUGGUCUGUUGUAGCAUCUUCAGUAUGUCCUUGUGAGGUCACUGCAUCAGACCACCACCUGGUGUGGCAGCAUCUCUUCUCACCCUUUCCAGCUGCUGCUGUUUAGUUUGAUGAAGUGACUUUGGUGUCAUAGCAAUCAUUAAUCCAGCCUCCAACACGUCACUGGCACAAUGGCGUGCGUGUGACCACCAAGGUGUACAGAGCAGACAUGCUUCACAUUAUUUGACCUGUGCAUGUGAUGUCCGGCUUCCACGUCUGCUAGUAUCCAUAUAUUUUCAAUAGUAAGUUACUUAUUGCAUGGACCACCUUCAUAUCUUGACCAUUCCCAAGGUUGACAUGAUAAUGGUAACAAUAACUAAUGGUUUAUGGGGAAUUGGCAACCAUGAGCUGAAAAUAUACAAACAGAAAAUAUAAAUGUGGGCCAGGGCUUUGGGCCAGUGUAGGAACAUUUCAUCAUGCAGCGGGCAGGGCGUCAGGUUCUGGAAGGAGACAGUUGUGUUUUAGGGGCAGGGCGUCAGGUUCUGGAAGGAGACAGUUGUGUUUUAGGGGCAGGGUGUCAGGUUCUGGAAGGAGACAGUUGUGUUUUAGGGGCAGGGCGUCAGGUUCUGGAAGGAGACAGUUGUGUUUUAGGGGCAGGGUGUCAGGUUCUGGAAGGAGACAGUUGUGUUUUAGGGGCAGGGCGUCAGGUUCUGGAGGGAGACAGUUGUGUUUUAGGGGCAGGGCGUCAGGUUCUGGAGGGAGACAGUUGUGUUUUAGGGGCAGGGCGUCAGGUUCUGGAGGGAGACAGUUGUGUUUUAGGGGCAGGGCGUCAGGUUCUGGAGGGAGACAGUUGUGUUUUAGGGGCAGGGCGUCAGGUUCUGGAGGGAGACAGUUGUGUUUUAGGGGCAGGGAGUCAGGUUCUGGAGGGAGACAGUUGUGUUUUAGGGGCAGGGUGUCAGGUUCUGGAGGGAGACAGUUGUGUUUUAGGGGCAGGGUGUCAGGUUCUGGAGGGAGACAGUUGUGUUUUAGGGGCAGGGCGUCAGGUUCUGGAGGGAGACAGUUGUGUUUUAGGGGCAGGGUGUCAGGUUCUGGAGGGAGACAGUUGUGUUUUAGGGGCAGGGUGUCAGGUUCUGGAAGGAGACAGUUGUGUUUUAGGGGCAGGGCGUCAGGUUUUGGUAAUGCGCUCCCUCAGGCUUUAUCUACAAACAAGCAAACUUUUAUUGAACAUGAAUGCCUUACACAUAUAAUUUGAGACAUUAUUCUGAAGUUACACCUUCAUGCCAACUCAGUGUUCCUCAAGGAAAGUGAAGGUGUUGUGCUCACAAGGCAGGGAAGUGUGUCAUUGAGUGUAUUCUCUAUUAAACAUGAUCUGCAUUGCUCUUUGCUCAGUGCCUUGUGUUGCACGGCUAUUGGGUAUUUGUGUUGGAAGUGACCAUUUUUCAGCUACUUCCAGACACUGAACAUUCCUUUUCUCU